AAAAUUUAUUUUAAAAUGCUAUUUUAAAACAUUAUUUUAUAAGCUUUAAAAUUAAGAUGUUAAAUACACGUCUAACUACAAAUGUACUUUAAAAUUGAGCAAAGUAGAAAUAUGAGAACUAUAAAAAUGAAAUUAAUUUUAUAUAUUUUUAGAAAAAGACGUUUCAAUCUUUAAGGAACAAUGAGAAGAUAUACCCGUAAUAACACAAGGGGAUCUUUUGUUACUUACUGCACAGCAGAAUGAAGAACAUUUUAACAUAACAAGCAGCCUACAGCAACUAUUACGAAUGCAAGCAAAAACAAACUUUGAAGAAUCAACAACUGCUAGCCGUGAAAAAUGCUAUCAAAGGUCAUGCAUUAAAUGUGGAGAAUGAAGAUAAUUUGAUUUCACCAUUUUUACCAUUGGCUAAAAUAGAAGAUAUUAAAGAGAUGGAUUCAAUUUUGAAAACUUCAAGCGAAGCAGUCACACAGUUUAUAAGUUUUAUAUAUUCAUAUUUUUAUCUUAAAACGAUGUAUUGAAAUAUUCGUAAUUACAUAAUAUCAAUAUUAAAGACAUUAAUUUAUUAAUAAUAAUAAUAAUGUAAUAUCAAUAUCAUAUUAUAAUAUAUAAAAAUACAUUUUUUUAUAAAAACUAUAUCAAAAAUUGGAGGAAACAACCUUAGGGACAGUAUUCAUCGCACUUUACAAAAGAUUUUUACCAAUGAGUGUGGCAUGCAGUGUUCGGAAAGGUAUACGGAACAACUUCCGUUUACAUGAUUUAAAUAUCAUGACAAUUAUUAGAAAACAGAUUAUCUUGCAACAUGCAGUGCUUACGGAGUUUCAAUUUGAUGCUGUAGCGGUUGAAUGAUUUUGCUUCGCAAAACAGAAGAAAAA
rnacentral:lncRNA from 13 species